AGCACUUUCCGCGAGGAAKAACGCCUGUCGGUUAAUACCCGGCAGGAAAGACAUCACUCGCAGAAGAAGCACCGGCUAACUCCGUGCCAGCAGCCGCGGUAAUACGGAGGGUGCAAGCGUUAAUCGGAAUUACUGGGCGUAAAGCGCGCGUAGGUGGCUUGAUAAGCCGGUUGUGAAAGCCCCGGGCUCAACCUGGGAACGGCAUCCGGAACUAUUAGGCUAGAGUGCAGGAGAGGAAGGUAGAAUUCCCGGUGUAGCGGUGAAAUGCGUAGAGAUCGGGAGGAAUACCAGUGGCGAAGGCGGCCUUCUGGACUGACACUGACACUGAGGUGCGAAAGCGUGGGUAGCAAACAGGAUUAGAUACCCUGGUAGUCCACGCCGUAAACGAUGUCGACCAGCCGUUGGGUGCCUAGCGCACUUUGUGGCGAAGUUAACGCGAUAAGUCGACCGCCUGGGGAGUACGGCCGCAAGGUUAAAACUCAAAUGAAUUGACGG
rnacentral:rRNA from 1 species